CCGGGCUGCAGUGAAGGGGGCGGAGUCUGAGGACAUUACUGGAGGGUUCGGCUCUCGAACCUGGGGUCUUGAAGAGGCCCGCGCUUGGGGUUUUUAGGCAACAGCAGGCCUCCAAGCAAAGAGUCCUGCUGUCCCGGACCGAAUCACUCCCCGAGCGACGGGCAAGGAGAUGGACCGCAAGCCAGGAAUAAUGGGAACCCUUCGCUGGGCAAACGAUAGUUUCCAAACUUAAGGUUGUGGAUGAAACAUUUUGGUGCGGCUGCUGCAGGGGCCUCAGCCCCGGGGUGCUGACCCGAGGCAAGGGAGCCGGCGCACGCACGCUUAGCCGCUAAGGAGCCUGCGGUGUCGGCGAAAGCUCCGGACAUGAUUUUGGAAAGUCGUAGAGUCUCAUUCUAUGGCCCAGGCUGGAGUGCAAUGUCACAAUCUCGGAUGCAACCUCCACUUCCAGGGUUCAAGCAGUUCUCCUGCCUCAGCCUCCCGAGUAGCUGGGAUUACAGGCGGAGUUUUGCUCUUCUUGACAAGGCUGGAGUGCAAUGGUGUGAUCUCGGCUUACUGCAACCUCCGCCUCCUGGGGUUCAAGUGAUUCCCCUGCCUCAGCCUCCCAAGUAGCUGGGAGUAUAGGCAUGUGCCACCACACCCAGCUAAUGUUUGUAUUUUUUAAAUAGAUGCGGGGUUUCUCCAUGUUGGUCAGGCUGGUCUCGUACUCCCGACCUCAGGUGAUCCACCUGCUUCAGCCCCCCAAAGUGCUGGGAUUACAAGCAUGAGCCACUGCGCCUGGCCUGUCAUAAAUUUUAAAAAUCAUAAAGGAUGUAAUUUCUGGCAUAGUAUAAUUAUUGUUAUUAUUUAAUGAAACUUUCAUGUUUCUCAUGUAAAUAUACCCAGUUGAAUGUAACUCUGAUAGCUACCAUCAACUAUUUAUAAGAUAUCUGAACAUUUAAAAGCAGACAUUUUACAUCACUAUUUCUUCUGGAAACUUUAUUUCCAUUCUUUACGGAAUUUUUUCCCAAUGUAAUUUGCAUUUAUAAUGGAAAGGCAUAUUGAUAAUGUAUCAUCAUCUGCAAUAAAAAUAUAUUAAUUUUUAAAAAUUUCCUGGAAGAAAAAUGUUACACUUAUUCUUUUGGGUUAUCUUUCAGUUAUUACAAAGUUGAUUACAACAACAUGAGUAAGUCUUAAGCUUUGAUUAAAAAUUAUAGGACAAAAAAAUUUUUUAUUGAAAAUAGAGUUCUUAAAAAGAUGCUUGGUAUAAAUAAGUCAUGCUUCCAUUCAUGACAGGACUAGUUAAAAGGAUAAGAUUUGUAUGUCUCUGUCUCUUGUAAAAUUGAAUCAUCAAUUCUUAAGAAGCAAAACCAGGAUAUAUAAGUAUUACAUAAUAUGCCCAGAAAGUGAUGUGAACAAAAUUCAGACGUACGUUGAAGCUCCCAUUUUAAGAAUCACUCAUAUGACAAAUGUCAUCUUUUGCUAUAUAACCUUUGCUUAAAUUGGAGAAAAGAUGGAUUUAAUGAGACAAAUGAAAAGUGGUUUAACGUAACACACAGCAGAGCAUAUGCUGUUAUGCUUUGGUGUUUCUUCCCUAGUCCUUGUUCCUCAUAAUAGAUUCUGGGAUGUUUCAAAAAUGCUGUAACUUUUUUUGCUAAUUGUGGUCUUAACAAAAAUUGUUCUUGGUUUAAAAAAAUAUGGAUAGGAUUGGUUAUUGGACUUUGAUAUUAAAUACAGUUUUAGUGAUAGUA